UACAGAGUCAUAUCAUCCUGCAUCCCUUGCCUGCUUUCCCAUUGAAGUUAAGCAGGGUUGAGCCUGGCCAGUAUCUGGAUAGAAGACCUCCUGGGGAAAACUAAGGUUGCAGCUGGAA
rnacentral:rRNA from 1 species